rnacentral:rRNA from 1 species
CCUACGGGGGGCAGCAGUGAGGAAUAUUGGUCAAUGGGCGGGAGCCUGAACCAGCCAAGCCGCGUGAGGGAAGAAGGUACAGCGUAUCGUAAACCUCUUUUGCCAGGGAACAAAGGCGGGCACUAGUCCCCGGAUGAGGGUACCUGAAGAACAAGCAUCGGCUAACUCCGUGCCAGCAGCCGCGGUAAUACGGAGGAUGCGAGCGUUAUCCGGAUUUAUUGGGUUUAAAGGGUGCGCAGGCGGCCUGUUAGGUCAGCGGGAAAAGCCCCGGGCUCAACCCCGGCGAGCCGUUGAAACUGGCGGGCUGGAGUUGGAGAGAAGUACGCGGAAUGCGGGGUGUAGCGGUGAAAUGCUUAGAUAUCGCGCAGAACCCCGAUUGCGAAGGCAGCGUACCGGCUCCACACUGACGCUGAGGCACGAAAGCGUGGGUAUCGAACAGGAUUAGAUACCCGGGUAGUC